UACGGAGGGUGCAAACGUUGCUCGGAAUCAUUGGGCGUAAAGCGCACGUAGGCGGCCCAGCAAGUCGGGUGUGAAAGCCCUCGGCUUAACCGAGGAAGUGCAUUCGAAACUACUGAGCUUGAAUACUGGAGAGGAUCGCGGAAUUCCCGGUGUAGAGGUGAAAUUCGUAGAGAUCGGGAGGAACACCUGUGGCGAAGGCGGCCACCUGGGCCGACCCUGACGCUGAGGCGCGAAGGCGUGGGGAGCGAACGGG
rnacentral:rRNA from 1 species